CCUCCACACUCUAUCAACUGGAGAAGCAGAAGUAGAUGGCCCAUAAAUAGGUUGAAACGUAUUCAAACCAAUCCAAUAACCACUCUUGACAACUUAUCGCCCACUCCUAUCAUAAUGCCAAAUCAAAACAUUCUCUCGGUCAAGCAAACCCAAUGGAAUGGACCAAAUACGCUCCACAUCUAUGGGUAAAAGGAGCUGUGCCAACAAAUCUCACCUUCAAAUCAUGAUCAAUCCAGUCUGAUACCCAGCAUCCAUAUGUAAAACUCUAGCAGUAGUGAUAACUCCAAAUGUAAAACGCUCUGGUAUCCACCUGUCUGACCAAACAGAGAUCUACUCAUCAUUACAAACUUCCAACACAAAUCCC
rnacentral:misc_RNA from 1 species